rnacentral:rRNA from 1 species
UACAGAGGUGGCAAGCGUUGUUCGGAAUUACUGGGCGUAAAGGGCGCGUAGGCGGUUUCGUAAGUCCCGUGUGAAAGCCCCCGGCUCAACUGGGGAAUUGCACGGGAAACUGCGAGGCUUGAGUUCGGGAGAGGGAAGCGGAAUUUCCGGUGUAGCGGUGAAAUGCGUAGAUAUCGGAAGGAACAUCAGUGGCGAAAAGCGGCUUCCUGGACCAGUACCGACGUUCAGGCACGAAAGCGUGGGGAGCAAACAGG